rnacentral:rRNA from 1 species
UGGGGAAUAUUGCGCAAUGGGCGAAAGCCUGACGCAGCGACGCCGCGUGAGGGAUGACGGCCUUCGGGUUGUAAACCUCUUUCAGUAGGGACGAAGCGCAAGUGACGGUACCUACAGAAGAAGCACCGGCCAACUACGUGCCAGCAGCCGCGGUAAUACGUAGGGUGCAAGCGUUGUCCGGAAUUAUUGGGCGUAAAGAGCUCGUAGGCGGUCUGUCACGUCGGCUGUGAAAACCCGGGCUCAACCUCGGGCCUGCAGUCGAUACGGGCAAACUAGAGUACUGCAGGGGAGACUGGAAUUCCUGGUGUAGCGGUGAAAUGCGCAGAUAUCAGGAGGAACACCGGUGGCGAAGGCGGGUCUCUGGGCAGUAACUGACGCUGAGGAGCG